CACGCCGUAAACGAUGGAUGCUAAGCAUUGGCAGUAUCGACCCUGUCAGUGCUGUUCACUAAAGCUAACGCCUUAAGCAUCCCGCCUGGGGAGUACGGCCGCAAGGCUAAAACUCAAAGGAAUAGACGGGGACCCGCACAAGCGGUGGAGCAUGUGGUUUAAUUCGACGAUAAGCGAGGAACCUCACCUAGGCUUGAAAUCUGGCUGCAGAAUCCCGGAAACGGGAUAGCCUUCGAGGGUGCCAGACAGGUGCUGCAUGGUUGUCGUCAGCUCGUGUCGUGAGAUGUACCGUUAAGUCGGGAACGAGCGCAACCCCUAUUCUAUGUUUUACUAUGUCAUAGGGAACUGCCCGCUUUAAGUGG
rnacentral:rRNA from 1 species